rnacentral:lncRNA from 1 species
GCGAACCUGACUUCAUGACAGCGGCAAAGAUGAUCCUCCAUGACUGGCAGAGAGGUAAGAUUCCCUUCUUCGUCCCUCCUCCUCAUCAAGAAGACGAUUCUUCAGCGGAACCCAAUGUAUGUGGGUUAAACGAGGAGGCAGUUGGCGAUAACAAUCAGGCAUCCGCAGCCCUCAAAGUAAUUGCUAGCGUUAUGUCGUCCCAGCAGCAAAGAAAUGUCCCUGUUCAAAGGGAUCUCUUCGGCGAGAAUGAGUUGAAGGAUGGGACAAUAGAUCAACAUCCAGACACGGAUGCCAAGGCAUCUGACCGGCCAUCGGAAUCGGAGGCAUCUGACCAGCCAUCUGACUCUGAUUCAGAAUCGGAAUCUGACGAAGAUCAGCCCCCGGCAAGUGACUCAGAGAAAUAAUGAAAGGAGAAAGAAAACAGUUUUGCAUGCUGUUUUAUUUUAUAUUAAUAAGCAAAUCAAAAUUUUGUAGUUUGGGUAAUUGUUUUAUUUUUUGGUUUUCAACAAGUUGAAUUGUAAGUUCGUCAAUGUAGUCAAUUUCCUUAAAUCUCAUCCUAGUAGAUCACAUUGUUUAAGUGCAAUUCGGUUUCAAUCUUCAUCACUAUGGAAUAUUAAUAGGAUUAAUAUGAAACUGUUUUUCCAAAGAGGGCUGUGAUUAAGUUAUAUUAUUUGUAGCUUAUAUUAAUUUAAAAUUAUUUUUUUUUAAUUCUUGUUAUGGGUCUGUUAUUGCCUAUCUCAUGAAAAAUUAUUUUUGGGUGAAGGUGCAGGGCAGCUGUUGUUUAUAUUUUGAUGAUUUUUAUUUGGUAUUAUUUGUUGAUUGUGUUCGAUUGUGAAGAGCUAUUUCUUUGACGGUCAUAAAAUUUCGAGAAGGGACACGAGUGGCCAAAAUUAGACGACCAGCCAUCGUUGUCUUAAGUUAAAGUCGCAUGGCAUGUGGAAUGGUAUGCGGUGGUUACGAGUAAUUAAUUAAUAGGCAGAUGCAUGUGAAAUUCAGUAGUGUUUUCUUUAAUUUUGUUUUUGUGAAAUUCAGUAGUGUUUUCUUUAAUUUUGUUUUUGUGAAAUUCAGUAGUGUUUUCUUUAAUUUUGUUUUUGUGAAAUUCAGUAGUGUUUUCUUUAAUUUUGUUUUUGUGAAAUUCAGUAGUGUUUUCUUUAAUUUUGUUUUUGUGAAAUUCAGUAGUGUUUUCUUUAAUUUUGUUUUUGUGAAAUUCAGUAGUGUUUUCUUUAAUUUUGUUUUUGUGAAAUUCAGUAGUGUUUUCUUUAAUUUUGUUUUUGUGAAAUUCAGUAGUGUUUUCUUUAAUUUUGUUUUUGUGAAAUUCAGUAGUGUUUUCUUUAAUUUUGUUUUUAUUUGAUUGGAGCGCUUUGAAAGUGACAAGUACUCUUUAAUUUUGUCUUUAUUUGAUUGAAGCGCUUUGAAAGUGACGUGUACGUAGAACACUAAUCUCUCCUUGAUAGAUAUAUAGGAAUUGUUUUAUUUAAUUUUGCCUUUAUUUGAUUGGAGCGCUUUGAAAGUGACGUGUAUUCUUUAAUUUUACCUUUAUUUGAUUAAAGGGCUUUGAAAGUGAUGUGUACGUAGAACGCUAAUCUCUCCUUGAUAGAUAUACAAGAAUUAGAAAUAUGGUAGCGGCCAUCGUUUUCACUAUUAUUUUGUCAAUUUAAAAGGAUAUUUUGUCAAUUCAAAAGCCUAACUGGUGGAACCGUGGAAAUUAAAAUGUUAAUUAACCCCCAAGGACUUAUUGUUUUUUGUCUUUGUGUUGAACAAGAGGUUUUGUCUGUGAUAUACUCCUUCAAAAUACCCUUAAUAGUUCUAAACUUACAAAAAAAAUAAAAAAUAAACAAUCGAUCAGGCUACGGUGCAACUGUAGUACCGUGCCACAGUUGCAUCCAACCGUUAGAUGCACUUGGAUUGAUAGGGUCCACUAACAUCCAACGGCUGGAUGCAACUGUAGCAUGGUACCACAGUUGCAUCACAUGUUUCCCCUAAACAAUCUACACUCUUUAUUUUACUUUUAAAAAAUAUUCUUUACUCCCCUAUAAAUGACAAGAACACUUUAGAGUAUUUGAGAUCUUAGAGAAUUUUUUUCUUGCCGCGGCUUUACAUCAGCAGUUUCAACACUUAAAUUUUAUUUUACUUUAAUUACAACUUGAAUUUCAACAAUAAUUAAGAAAAUUUUAAAAAAUUUCAAAAAUAAGGAGUCAAGAAUGUAUCUUUUACUUCUACAUAAUUAUUAUAAAAAUAGAUAAUUAAGAAGAAAUGGUAGUAACAAGAAAAUUGAGAUGACGAAUUCAGUAAUGGGACUAUGUACUUUGUAUUUCAAGAAACUUUUUUUUAAUUUAAAAAAUGAUUUAAUUGAAUGCAAUAAUUUUUUUUGUCGAAAAGAGAGCAAUAAAUUUUUGAAAAAUGAUAUUUGAACGCCAAGAAAAAAUCAUCAGGACAAAAACGAUAUCAUUAUAGCAUGAUAAUGCUGUUGUCUUUUGUGCUAUGAUGAUACUGUAGCAUGAUCAGUAAUCUUACAUUUUUUUUAAGUGUUCAUGGUGUUCGAAUAUCAAUGCUCUAUAUUAUUUUAGUCAUUGUUUAUUUUUUGUGUAUUGAUUUAUGAGAGUAUAAGACUUUUUUUAAGAGAAAUUAAAAAGAAUAAUAAUAAAAGUAAAAAAUUUCUAACAUUAAAUAAAAAAUUAUUUUUGAAAAUUGAAAGUGUAAAGAAUUCAAUUUAUUUCCUUAGAAAAACUAAUAAUGAAUGAAUUAGUUGACAUACAAUAUUAUUAUUUAUAACUCUUUAAACUAAAAAAAUAAAUUUUAAUUAUAAGAUAAUUAGUAAUGAUAGUAAUGUUUAAAAACAUAUUUUCUUACAAUAUUUAACUUAAAAAAAUUCAUUAAUUAAAAUAUUAUUAAAAAAAUAUUAGUCUAUACUUAAAACCAUCAAAUGUUUAAAUUCGUGAGUGGAGUGGUGACCUACAUACAUGUGAAAUCUUAAUUGCAUAAUACAAUUCAUUACCAAAAAAAGAAAAAAAAAACACAUAGCACAUGUAAUGAUUUGCACAACUUGUGAUACUAAGUCUAACGAAUAUAAGUCAAAUCAAUUCUCAAUGUGCAACAACCCGUUAAUUGUUUUCUUAUUAUAAAAAUAAAUAAUCAAAGUAAUAUAUCAUUUUAGUUAAUAAUAUUUACUAUGUUUUUUUUUUUACUUUACGCCUCUGUAGAGAACCCACCUAACCCAUCGCUAAUUCUAAUCUAUACUAACAAUAAUGUCUAACCUAUUUUAAUAACAUUAAAUAGAGACUAAUAGUCUAAUACGCAUAAAAAUUAAAAUACUAUUUCAUAAAUCUUAAAGUCUGAAAUUAAUAACAAAUAAAUAAACUGUCACGUUUACAAAAAAAUUCAACUAAAUGGUUAUUGGUGAAGAUUAGGAAUUGAAAUUUAUGUUCUUAAAAAAUAAUGAAUUAUUUAUUAUUAUUUUUUAAUUAAGGACCUGUUCUUUGUAUCUAGUGAGAUUCUUCUUCUGGUGAGUGUGCUGCUGCAUGCAGCAUGUUCCAGCUAACCAAGAAAAGCGGUGAUUUUUUUUUUUUUUUUAAAUCAGUUUCCAAAUGAAAAAUAAAAUAAUAUAAAAAGACCCAUUCACCCUAAACGACAUCGUAUCCCGCCAAAUUAAAACGAACUUCCAUUAACGUGGUUUAAAAACUGCACUGCACAGAUCUCUCUGCAAACUACAGUACUGCAAACACGGAGGGGUAAUUUUUAAAAACCUCCCCUGAGAUUUGGACUUGUUGCAAAUAGAUGGUGAGAAUUGAUUUAUUUGUAAACAAUCCCCUACCGUCAGUUAAGUUUAACAUUAACCGUUAGUUGACCGUACAAAAAUAAUAUUACCCUUAACAAUAGUUUAUAAACGAAAAUAACUAAAAAAAAAUCAAAAUUAUUAGCUAUUUUACACUUUUUAAAUUAUUGAUAUUUUCUUAAAGUUCCUAUAAAAAAGUUAAAAUUAAAAAAUUAAAAAAUUAAAAAAUCCUCUUUAAAUUAUUGAUAUUUCCUUAAAAUUCCUACAAGAAAGAUAAAAUUAAAAAUUUAAAAAUGAAAUAGUCAUAAUCUUUACCUAUGAUAUUGUAAAUUUUUAGAAUUGACAAGGAUAAAAUUAUCAAAAAAUAAGAUUUGUGCUUUUUGCACCAAUAAUUUUGGUUUUUUUUUAGUUAUUUUCGUUUACAAACUAUUGUUAAGGGUAAUAUUGUCUUUGCAUGGUCAAUUAACGGUCAAUGUUAAACUUAACUGACGGUAGGGGGUUUUUUACAAAUAAAUCAAUUCUCGCCAUCUACUUGCAACAAGCCCAAACGUCAGGAGAGAUUUUUAAAAAUUACCCAAACACGGAGUAUUAAAAAAUUAUAUAAAAAAAAAAUUUCUAAAAAGAAAAAGAAAAAUUAAAAGUCCCCAGGUCGUUUCUGGUGAGGGCUCAUCGUUCUUUUCGCCGUUUCAUAAUUAAAAAAAGAAAAGGAAAAAAAUCAUUGCUAGCGUUAUGUCGUCCCAGCAGCAAAGAAAUGUCCCUGUUCAAAGUGAUCUCUUCGGCGAGAAUGAGUUGAAGGAUGGGACAAUAGAUCAACAUCCAGACAUGGAUGCCAAGGCAUCUGACCGGCCAUCGGAGUCGGAGGCAUCUGACCAGCCAUCUGACUCUGAUUCAGAAUCGGAAUCUGACGAAGAUCAGCCCCCGGCAAGUGACUCGGAGAAAGAAAACAGCUUUGCAUGCUGUUUUAUUUUAUAUUAAUAAGCAAAUCAAAAUUUUGUACUUUGGACAAUUGUUUUAUUUUUUGGUUUUCAACAAGUUGAAUUGUAAGUUCGUCAAUGUAGUCAAUUUCCUUAAAUCUCAUCCUAGUAGAUCACAUUGUUUAAGCUACGUGCAAUUCGGUUUCAAUCUUCAUCACUAUGGAAUAUUAAUAGGAUUAAUAUGAAACUGUUUUUUCCAAAGAGGGCUGUGAUUAAGUUAUAUUAUUUGUAGCUUAUGUUAAUUUAAAAUCAUUUUUUUUUAAUUCUUGUUAUGGGUCUGUUAUUGCCUAUCUCAUGAAAAAUUAUUUUUGGGUGAAGGUGCAGAGCAGCUGUGGUUUAUAUUUUGAUGAUUUUUAUUUGGUAUUAUUUGUUGAUUGCGUUCAAUUGUGAAGAGCUGUUUGUUUGACGGUCAUAUAGUUUCGAGAAGGGACACGAGUGGCCAAGAUUAGACGACCAGCCAUCGUUGUCUUAAGUUAAAGUCGCAUGGCAUGUGGAAUGGUAUGCGGUGGUUACGAGUAAUUAAUUAGGCAAAUGUUAAGUUACAAUAAUUGUAACAUACAUUCCUCAUGUGAACCACACAAAUUGUG